AUUUUCCGAUUUGUUGGAAGACAAAUGGUGUCUCCAAAGAAAGUACAUGUGCAGACAACGUGACACUUUAGACUGCAGAAAAUUUCACAAUCCGUUAUCAAACUAUGUCACAGAAGUGGUAAGGGACUUGUGUGACAACUGAAUGGUAUCUUUUUGUAAUGUUUUUGACCAGGGGUGGGUAUUUCUUUUUUAAUUGAUAUUUGAGGUUGGGUAAUCAAAUAUUUUACUUUUUAAUGGUUGGGUCAGCAAAAUUUUUGGCACGAAAAACAUUUCUCUUCGGUGCCACCCCCCACCAUAAAUAAUGACCGCUC